UGGGGAAUAUUGGACAAUGGGCGAAAGCCUGAUCCAGCCAUGCCGCGUGUGUGAAGAAGGUCUUCGGAUUGUAAAGCACUUUAAGUUGGGAGGAAGGGCAUUAACCUAAUACGUUAGUGUUUUGACGUUACCGACAGAAUAAGCACCGGCUAACUCUGUGCCAGCAGCCGCGGUAAUACAGAGGGUGCAAGCGUUAAUCGGAAUUACUGGGCGUAAAGCGCGCGUAGGUGGUUUGUUAAGUUGGAUGUGAAAUCCCCGGUCUCAACCUGGGAACUGCAUUCAAAACUGACUGACUAGAGUAUGGUAGAGGGUGGUGGAAUUUCCUGUGUAGCGGUGAAAUGCGUAGAUAUAGGAAGGAACGCCAGUGGCGAAGGCGACCACCUGGACUAAUACUGACACUGAGGUGCGAAAGCGUGGGGAGCAAACA
rnacentral:rRNA from 1 species